AGUCGGACGACAGGCGAGGAAUCCGCAAGGAGGAAUCGUGCUGAGUGGCGAACGGGUGAGUAAGACAUGGGGACGUACCCUCAAGAGGGGGAUAGCAUUCCGAAAGGGAUGGUAAUACCCCGUAAGCUCGAGAGAGGGAAGGUGCAACAGCACCGCUUGAGGAGCGACUCAUGGCCCAUCAGUUAGUUGGUGAGGUAAAGGCCCACCAAGGCUAUGACGGGUAGCUGGUCUGAGAGGAUGGUCAGCCACACUGGGACUGAGACACGGCCCAGACUCCUACGGGAGGCAGCAGUGGGGAAUUUUUCCCAAUGGGCGAAAGCCUGAGGGAGCGACGCCGCGUGGAGGAAGGAGUCUUUCGAGAUGUAAACUCCUGUUGUAAGGGAGCAAGGGUAUAUGUAGUGGAAAGGCAUAUACUCGGAUAGUACCUUACGAGGAAGCCCCGGCUAACUACGUGCCAGCAGCCGCGGUAAUACGUAGGGGGCGAGCGUUGUCCGGAGUUACUGGGCGUAAAGGGUGCGUAGGUGGCCGAUAAAGUCAAUUGUGAAAUUCCACGGCUCAACUGUGGGAGUGCGGUUGAAACUAAUCGGCUUGAGGUCAGGUCAGGAAGAUGGAAUUGUCAGUGUAGGGGUGAAAUCCGUAGAUAUUGGCAAGAACGCCGGUGGUGAAGACGGUCUUCUGGGCUGAUACUGACACUGAGGCACGAAAGCUAGGGGAGCGAACGGGAUUAGAUACCCCGGUAGUCCUAGCCGUAGACGAUGCUCACUGAGUAUGGGA
rnacentral:rRNA from 1 species